CGGGCCCGGGAGCGGGGUGUGCGUGGGAGAUUAAACUCAAAGUAAACGCUGGCUUCAAGAAAAAAUAAACCCGUCAGCCUCGAGUCACGGUUUCCAGGCUAACUCCGGUGGAGCAAGUCACGGCAAGAGAGCGAUACCCGUUUGAGACCUUCAGAGUCGGAUAUAUGGACAAGCCCCUUUUCCAUAGCUCAGCUGCUUUGAAAAGGCUCUUCUUUCGCUGUUGAUGUCUCGGAUGAGAGAAAGGACCUGAAGGUAGAGCCCCCCAUCCUGGCAGCAAUGCACCUGGGCCUUCCUGCUUCGUUCUUCUCUCCAGCAGCAGGGCUGGGCACGCCGCAAUCCACAUGUUGAAACCUUGGGAGAGCCCUCACUGAAAGGCUCUUGGAAAACACGGUCAUCUCUUCAGCAGGAUCUUGCAACCACCGAGAGAUCAGCACAUCCCAUGUGUAUAACAAACACACUGAGGGUUUUUUUUUUUUUGUAAUUUUAGACUUUUUGUAGACUUCGUCCACAUCAUACUCUGGUGCCUAACUGCAGGCAUUCCUCUUUUUUGAGGCAUUUAAGACAGUGCAGUGUAACCCUUACUGCUGGGCUUUAUUAGCAAUAACUAAUCCAGUCUGGUUUUAAGCACAAGCUCAUUUUCCUAACUUCUACUGCCUAAUAGUAAGUGUGGGAUGUAUCCUGUGCUGUGCGAUUUUGAUGAUGGUUUCUGAGAAGAAAACAGUAAAAAUAUGCAGUAUCUCCACAGCACUGUUUAUAUAUUUAUAUGUAUAUAAGUGUGUAAGUCUGGCCAUCAGGGAGUGUUUUUUUCCUGUGCAGUUAAUUUAGGUAGUGGACUGCACAAGAGGAAAUAGUUGGUGUUAAUAUACUCAUGGACUACCUUUUACAGCCAAAGGAGCAUCUGGAUUAAAUGAUUAGACUCUUUUCACACUGAAAAAAGACUAUCUCUGGUUUUGAUGGGAAAAAAAUGGUGAAAAGUGCUUUAAAAACAAAAUUUUAAAGUGCACAUAGAACUUUAUAAUUAGUACACAGCAAUUUUUGUCCCCUGAAAAUAUGUAGUCAGGAAGGAGAACCUGUGUUGGUGGAAACUUACCAUAAAGAGCAUAACUAGCAGAGAGAGAGGAUAAAAGAGCAGAAUGAGAGGUAUGAUUGAAGGUGAAGAAGAGUUGCCAUCUGAGGAAGAGUCACUCAGUCUGAGACUCUUCAGACUGGAAUGGAGUUGGUGAUUGAGGCUUCCUGGUGGUGGUUCAUUACAUGACGUGUAGUUCCAAUGUACAACAGGCCUGAAUACAGAGAAGGAAACUCCUCUGAGGUCAACUUCAAUAUGAAGCCAGUAUCUCUCUUUCAGGCAGUUCCAAGACAAGAUGUUCUAAACUGAUGGAGGUUGACAACUAUUCUCUGCUCCUGUAUCUUGUUCCUCUCACUUUCCUCUUGGCCACUUGUCUUCAUGUCAUUAAAGGGCAAAUACAGGGCUACACAUACCUUUGUUCUAAAUUCAUGCUACUGUUCUUAUAUUCCUUCAGAGCAUGCUAAGGUCAAUUUAUAAAGAAGUUGCAGAAGCACGGAUUUUGUACUUGGGAUUAACUUCCUUCUCUGUGGAUCAGAAAGAUAGCUCCUCUUGGUCGUCUCUCAGGCUUGAGAUACCAGUGUGUGCCAUUAAAUAUCAUUCUACCCCUGCUUUUGGGGAAGCAGACUGUGCAAUGGGCAGUAGGUUUCUCUGAGAUUUUAUGUUUUCUGAGACUUUAGGUGUCCUUGUUAUUCAGUAUCCUGGAAAUUUUUCUGCCCAGGUGCAAAUGUUGUCGUAACUUUCAAGACACCUACUUCAGGAUGAUUCUUGUAAUUGUUUUUUCUUUGCUCAUUUGCCUUUACUUUGACAUCCACCUUUGACUUACUUUGGAAAUAAUACUCAUUGUACUGUUACCACUACAAUCUGGUAGUAAUACAAAUUUUAACAGAAAAAAACCCCAAAAAAUUAAAUUAAUCUUAUUUUCCUUUGGCUGGAACACUUUCUUGUAUCUUGCUCUCCACUUGCUCUUUACCAGUGAACUUUCUUACUGGACUUAGCCUGUUCUCCUCAUCAGAUCUUCUCAAGGGCUGGUGCAGUACCAGAGUUUUACAUCUUAACCAGGUAUUUUGCGAUCCAGAUUCAGGGCUUUGGGGUUUAGAGGUUAGGGAUGAAUGAACUUGUGUCUUCAAGACAGACAUAUUUUAGGGUAAUGUGAAAAUGAAAAUCUUAUUCCAGUUUAGUAAAAAGUAAACCUACAGUAAUUUUUUUAAAGUGUAUACAUUUAAUAUAGAAACUGCUAUAUACAAAUUCACAUUCUAUGUAAGAAUCAAAUGAUUAAACACAGACAUACACCAAUUGGUCUGAGAUUUUGAGUACAUUAAAGUCCAAUCUGCUGUUUAUCCAUUAGUAAAGGAAAAUAUCUCUUAUUUUUUAAGCUGUUUCUCCUCCUUACAGAUUCCAUGAAUGUCUAUCCCCAUGUAGGAAGGGAGAAUAAGUCCCUUAUAGAAUGGCAGGUUGUCUGCUGUUGACAUUAAUGUUUUAAUAAUCUGCAUAUCCAGAUCUUGCAUUAGGCCAUCACCAAAACCCCAAAACAAGUACAGCAGGUUCAUAGAAUCAUGGAAUGUUAAGUUGUUGGGCCUCAAAGAUCUAGUCCGAAGCCCUCUGCCCUGGGCAGGGACACCUGGUCGCUAGACCAAGUUGCCCAAAGCCUUGUCGAGCCUGGCCUUGGACACUGACAGGGAUGAGGCAUCCACAACCUCCCUGGGCAACUUGUUCCAGUGUCUUGCCAACUACACAGUAAAAGAUUUCUUCACAAUACCUGACUUAGAUUUCCACUCUUUUAAUUUGUACCUCUUUGUUCUGUCUACAGUUCCUGAUAGCAGUUGUUUCCUGCUUUCCUUAGGUCCCUUCAGAUACUGGAAGGUUGUUGUGAGGUCUCCACAAAACCUUCUCCAGGCUGACCAGCCCCAGCUUUCUCAGCCUGACUUCAUAGGGAAGGUGCUCCAGUCCUCAUCAACUUCAUGGCUUCUUCUGGACUUGCUCCCACAGUUCCAUGUCCUUUUUAUGCUGGGGACACAGAAUUGGAUGCAGCACUUCAGGUGGGAUCUCACAAGAGUAGAGUGGAGGUAUAGAAUCACCUCCCUCACCCUGCUGGCCACACAGGGUGCCAGGGCACAGCUGACUUUCUGGGCUGUGAGCACUCUGCUGAUUUGUGUUUAGUUUUCAUCAACCACCACCCCCAAGUCCUUCUCCACAGGGCUGCUCUCAAUCCCUUCUCUGCCCAGCCUGUAGUGGUGCCUGGGAUUGCCAUGACCCAGGUGUAGGACCUUGCUUUUCUGUUGGUUGAAUUUCAUGGAUUUUGCACUGACCCAUGUAUCAAGAUUCUCAAGGUCCCUCUGGAUGACGUCCCCUCCCUUCAUGUAGACUCUUGCUACAUAGCCAUUAGAAUCAUUGAGUCAAAAGGAGAAUUCACAGCUCCUAGGUUUCUUGUGACUCAGAAAAAAAAAAGGUCCUGUAAAUAAAUUCAUAGAAAGAAGAAAAUGAGAUAAAGCUAGGGGAACAAAUUGUUUCUUGAUUUGCACAUGGUUUAUUUUCAAAGCUGUAACAACUAUGACAAUGGGUUGGCACUUACAGGGACCCAAUUUUUGCCUAAUAUUUACCUCUCUUUGGUGAGAGGUUGGCAAAAGGAUGAAGUGUCUUUGUCUCCUUCCAAUCCCAGAGUGCCUGGAGCUAGUUUUCCUAGAGCUGGUUACUUGGAGUCUUCAAUGUUACCCUAGUGUUUGCUUGGAUGCUUGUGGUCCUCAGGAACUUUAUACACCCAAGCCCAUCUUUCUUGUAAACCUUUUCUUAUUCUAAAACUUGGGGAGGAUUAAAAGUUUCACAGUGCCUUUGGGAGUUCUCUAGCCAUCAAGAGUAAUACUGGCAGAAGCAGAAGGGAAAAAUAAACCAGGGAAUAGACCAGCCAAUAUCAAAUAAUAAAAUCACAUUGAAAUCUCAACAAAGGAAGUUAUGUUAAUGCUCUAAAGUACCAACAUCAUAAGUCUGAAUGCAGCUACUAGAAAUGGCAGGUUUAUUCUUUCCUGGACUAGAUUCCUAAACAGCCAAUGACAUUACAGCCAAGGAAGUUAUCAAUAGCAUAAGUGGUAAAGAAGUGCCAGAAGUAUUCCAUCCUCAAAUACAAUGUUUUAUUACGUGUCCACAUACCUCUCCAGAAAACAAAAAUGCACUAUUAUUAGGGAAUGUUUAUUGUCUGAAUGGUACACAACAAAUGCUGGAGUUCACUUAAGAGCACUAUGAGCUCAGCAAAUGUUUUCCCAUAGAUUUGGUGCUUUAUAAUUAGUGUGAAAUUGUUAAUUUACAAGUACAAUUAAUGAAACAAAUAUAGUUUAUUCUGCAUUUAUUAAGGUGUCCUUAGAAUUAACGUAGUAGUGUAGUGGUGACCAUGAAAAAUUAAGAAUAUCUGUGAUUCAAAUUUUUAAGACUAGAAAAAAUCUUUCAUCAAAGCAUCUAAUGCUGUUGUGGAAAGCAGACAAACUUAUAGUCACUGACACUUCUCCAAAUCUGGAAUAGACACAGCAAACUUCAAAUACAAAUACAAAUUGUGAACAACUGCUCUGGGUUAAAACCGAGGUGUUUCAACUACAGAAGAGAAACAAUAUUCAAUUAUAGCUAUACUAGAUCCAUCUAAUUCAACAUCAUGUCUUUGGCAGUAAUUGGUCAGAACAAAGUAUUUGGGUUAGUUUCUUGUCUCCCAUCUUCAUCUUUUAGCUCUUUCAGAGGCAUGUGAGAGUUGGGGAUGGUGAAUUCCCGUCAUGGUUGGCCCCAAAGCGUGCUGAAAACCCAAACAUAUGUGAAUUCCCAGGUAGAUAAAAUACAGUCACUUGUUUCAGAAUGUUUCUUGCUGUGAGGUUGUGGGAGGAAGGGGAUACAUUGUAAUGGCACUUAGGCAGUGCUCUCUGCGACAAGCAGACAAGGAGA